UACGGAGGGGGCUAGCGUUGUUCGGAAUUACUGGGCGUAAAGCGCGCGUAGGCGGACCUGCAAGUCGGGGGUGAAAUCCCACGGCUCAACCGUGGACACGCCUUCGAAACUGUGAAGCUUGAGGCUGGGAGAGGAGAUCGGAAUUCCUGGUGUAGCGGUGAAAUGCGCAGAUAUCAGGAGGAACACCAAUGGCGAAGGCAGAUCUCUGGGCCGUAACUGACGCUGAGGAGCGAAAGCAUGGGGGAGCGAACAGG
rnacentral:rRNA from 1 species